GACGAACGCUGGCGGCGUGCUUAACACAUGCAAGCCGAACGGUAAGGCCCUUCGGGGUACACGAGUGGCGAACGGGUGAGUAACACGUGGGUGAUCUGCCCUGCACUUCGGGAUAAGCCUGGGAAACUGGGUCUAAUACCGGAUAGGACCACUGCCUGCAUGGGUGGUGGUGGAAAGCUUUUGCGGUGUGGGAUGGGCCCGCGGCCUAUCGGCUUGUUGGUGGGGUGAUGGCCUACCAAGGCGACGACGGGUAGCCGGCCUGAGAGGGUGACCGGCCACACUGGGACUGAGAUACGGCCCAGACUCCUACGGGAGGCAGCAGUGGGGAAUAUUGCACAAUGGGCGCAAGCCUGAUGCAGCGACGCCGCGUGAGGGAUGACGGCCUUCGGGUUGUAAACCUCUUUCAGCACCGACGAAGCGCAAGUGACGGUAGGUGCAGAAGAAGGACCGGCCAACUACGUGCCAGCCGCCGCGGUAA
rnacentral:rRNA from 1 species